rnacentral:rRNA from 1 species
UCGCCUGUUUAUCAAAAACAUCGCCUCUUGAAAUAACAAUAUAAGAGGUCCUGCCUGCCCAGUGACUGUUUGUUCAACGGCCGCGGUACUUUGACCGUGCGAAGGUAGCGCAAUCACUUGUCUUUUAAAUGGAGACCUGUAUGAAUGGCUAGACGAGGGCUUAACUGUCUCCUUUUUCCGGUCAAUGAAAUUGAUCUUCCCGUGCAGAAGCGGGAAUAGCAUCAUAAGACGAGAAGACCCUGUGGAGCUUUAGACACUAAAUCAGCCCUUGUCCAAGCCCCUCGUUAAGGGACUGAACGAUAGAGUGAGACCUGAUCUGAUGUCUUCGGUUGGGGCGACCUCGGGGAAAGAAAAACCCCCCGCGCGGAACGGAAGUACUACUUCUAAAACUGAGAGCCACCGCUCAAAGCACCAGAAAUUUUGACCAACUAUAUGAUCCAGCUUAACGCCGAUCAACGGACUAAGUUACCCCAGGGAUAACAGCGCAAUCCUCUUCUAGAGCCCAUAUCGACAAGAGGGUUUACGACCUCGAUGUUGGAUCAGGACAUCCUAAUGGUGCAGCCGCUAUUAAGGGUUCGUUUGUUCAACGAUUAAAGUCCUACGUGAUCUGA